rnacentral:rRNA from 1 species
UACGUAGGGUGCGAGCGUUAAUCGGAAUUACUGGGCGUAAAGCGUGCGCAGGCGGUUCGUUAAGUUCGUCGUGAAAGCCCCGGGCUCAACCUGGGAACUGCGAUGGAAACUGGCGGGCUUGAGUGUGGCAGAGGGGGGCGGAAUUCCGCGUGUAGCAGUGAAAUGCGUAGAGAUGCGGAGGAACACCGAUGGCGAAGGCAGCCCCCUGGGUCAACACUGACGCUCAGGCACGAAAGCGUGGGGAGCAAACAGG